rnacentral:rRNA from 1 species
AUUGAACGCUGGCGGCAUGCUUUACACAUGCAAGUCGAACGGUAACAGGGAGCUUGCUCCGCUGACGAGUGGCGAACGGGUGAGUAAUGCGUCGGAACGUGCCGAGUAGUGGGGGAUAACGCAGCGAAAGUUGUGCUAAUAAAGCAUACGUACUGAGGGCGAAAGUGGGGGACCUUCGGGCCUCACGCUAUUCGAGCGGCCGACGUCUGAUUAGCUGGUAGGUGAGAUAAAGGCUCACCUAGGCGACGAUCAGUAGCGGGUCUGAGAGGAUAAUCCGCCACACUGGGACUGAGACACGGCCCAGACUCCCACGGGAGGCAGCAGUGGGGAAUUUUGGACAAUGGGCGAAAGCCUGAUCCAGCCAUACCGCGUGUCUGAAGAAGGCCUUCGGGUUGUAAAGGACUUUUGUCGGGGAGGAAAUCCCCAGCGCUAAUACCGCUGGGGGAUGACAGUACCUGAAGAAUAAGCACCGGCUAACUACGUGCCAGCAGCCGCCGUAAAAC